GAUGAACGCUGGCGGCGUGCCUAAUACAUGCAAGUCGAGCGAACGGACGAGAAGCUUGCUUCUCUGAUGUUAGCGGCGGACGGGUGAGUAACGCGUGGAUAACCUACCUAUAAGACUGGGAUAACUUCGGGAAACCGGAGCUAAUACCGGAUGAUAUUUUGAACCGCAUGGUUCAAAAGUGAAAGACGGUCUUGCUGUCACUUAUAGAUGGAUCCGCGCUGCAUUAGCUAGUUGGUAAGGUAACGGCUUACCAAGGCAACGAUGCAUAGCCGACCUGAGAGGGUGAUCGGCGACACUAGAGCGUAGACGCGGACCAUACUCCUACGAGAGGGAGCAGAAGCGUAUCUGCCGCAAUGGGCGAAAGCCUGACGGAGCAACGGGGCGUGAGUUAUAAAGGUGCUCGGUGCGGAAAACUCUGUUACGAGGGGAGAACAGAUUUGUAAGUAACUGAGCACAGCGUGACGGUACCUAAUCAGAAAGCCACGGCUAACUACGUG
rnacentral:rRNA from 1 species